AAUCUUAAUCACCAUCAUUUUGAUUUCAUAUUUUAUUUAUUGCUAAUGGAUUUACAACAAUUUUACAGUAUAAUUACUUGUGUAUUGUGAGAAGCCAUUACGACUAGCCUACAUUUUAAAAUUGCAAUGGAUCGGAUCUUGCUAGAUGGAUUAUGGAAUUUGGGAAAGAAGGUUACCAUACUGGCGGACUGGUACCGGAAUAAAAAUAAGACCAAUGGCUAACUUACAUGUGAGGUGCUGUGUCCUCAUGGGCUAAUUUUGAGUGGCCUAACACCAAAGCUCUUAAUAACUUAACUCCAUCAAAGUAGCAAGUUUGGUAGCCUAAUGGGUGUUGUCCGAGCCCACGCAGCACUAGGUGAUGGUCUUGCACUGUUUGGAACUGGUUGUCUCCAUACGUGGCCUUCUGUUGUAGAAGAUGUGAUCACCUGUUUCCUAGACCCAACUCCUGUUGAUACUCAACAGUUGAUGGACGAUAGUUGCUACAGGCUCCGUACCUACCCUGGGUGCUGCUGGGAUUCUCAGUUCUGCUGUACAACACUAUCUGGGUGGACCUUAUGGGGAUGAUUGUUGGACAUUGCUACUACUACUUAGAGGAUGUCUUUUCCUACCGAAACGGAGGUCUUAGAAUUAUCAAACUUCUAAAAUCUUGUGUUGCAUGGACUUCCUUCAAAAGUUCAAAGAUCUCCAACCACACUCGGAGUUAUGACAGAGUUCGUCUCAUCGCAGAUAUGAAUAUUGUACAGAGUUUGUUGCAGCUGGUACAGCUUUCCUCGUUUAAGGAUUUUGUCCCCUACUUUACAGCCUUUAUUGGCUCUGUAAUCUGUGCUGCCAUGCAAGAGGCAAGUGAAAAUCGAAUAGACCUACUUCAGAAAACAAUGGCCCAACUUUUGAGCUUCUUGGUGGAGGCAAGCCAAAAUACUCCAGGUAUUCCAAACUCUACAUUACGGUAUCUUACUUUUAUUUCAAUGGGGUUUUUCAUUCCCAUCCUGAUUGUGGGAUGAGAACGGGAUGAAAUUUGUUUUCCAGUGAAUCAAGGAAAUCUUAAGAUGGUUUUUAGCCCUAUAUUGAUAAUGAGGUUUAUUGAUGAAUAACAUUAACUCAUGUUUUUAUGUUGUAAUCUA